UCUACCCCUGUCACUUGUAUCAGAGUU
rnacentral:piRNA from 1 species